UACGGAGGAUCCAAGCGUUAUCCGGAAUCAUUGGGUUUAAAGGGUCCGUAGGCGGUUUUGUAAGUCAGUGGUGAAAGCCCAUCGCUCAACGGUGGAACGGCCAUUGAUACUGCAAGACUUGAAUUACUAGGAAGUAACUAGAAUAUGUAGUGUAGCGGUGAAAAUGCUUAGAGAUUACAUGGAAUACCAAUUGCGAAGGCAGGUUACUACUAGUGGAUUGACGCUGAUGGACGAAAAGCGUGGGGGAGCGAACAGG
rnacentral:rRNA from 1 species